CCUACGGGUGGCAGCAGUGAGGAAUAUUGGUCAGUGGGCGAGAGCCUGAACCAGCCAAGUCGCGUGAGGGAGUACUGCCCUAUGGGUUGUAAACCUCUUUUGUCGGGGAGCAAAAGCCGGACGUGUCCGGCUGUGAGAGUACCCGCAGAAAAAGCAUCGGCUAACUCCGUGCCAGCAGCCGCGGUAAUACGGAGGAUGCGAGCGUUAUCCGGAUUUAUUGGGUUUAAAGGGUGCGCAGGCGGAUUUUUAAGUCAGCGGUAAAAUCGUGGGGCUCAACCCCAUCCAGCCGUUGAAACUGGGGAUCUAGAGUGUGCGAGAGGUAUGCGGAAUGCGUGGGGUAGCGGUGAAAUGCAUAGAUAUCACGCAGAACCCCGAUUGCGAAGGCAGCAUACCGGUGCACAACUGACGCUCAGGCACGAAAGCGUGGGUAUCGAACAGGAUUAGAUACCCUGGUAGUC
rnacentral:rRNA from 1 species